CAUUUUUUUUAAUUGAGUUCUGUAGCAAGGGAAGGUAGAAGCUGCAAGAAUGAUUGGCAGGUCUUGAGACUUAGAAUCGUAUAUGAGCUGGUUGGGUCAGAGUUCCAAAGGGGCAGUUUUCCAACUGACUUAGUCUGGAGCUGAAAGUGAAGAAGGAAGAUGUGUAGCUGAGACUCCCUGAACAAACCACCUAUCAAGCAACUGGCCUUUGAGGAUCAACUGGCUGAGGGUGAAAGGAAAAUCACCAGUCUUCCUGGUGGACAGAUUGACUGGGGGAAAGACCUCUACCUUGCUGGACCAUCUGAGGACACCACAACUUGAAUUCCUGAUAUCUGCCCAACCACUGACUCUCUAUGAAGAACCUGAGGCCCAAGGAAAUUAAGUAAUUUGCCUAAGAUCACAGAACUAUGAAGCAUCAGAGAUAAGACAUCAGCCCAGAGCUUCUGUGCCUAAGCUGAAAUAAAUGGGAAAACAUCCAGCCA
rnacentral:lncRNA from 1 species